rnacentral:tRNA from 1 species
AGUAAGGUAGACUAAAGGUAAGUCAUUAGGCUCAUAACCUAGUUAUAGAAGUUCGAUUCUUCUCCUUACUA